AGACGUCUACAUUAGAUACCCCCGUAGUCCCAGCCGUAAACUAUGCGCGUUAGGUGUAUCGGUGACCACGAGUCACCGAGGUGCCGAAGGGAAACCGUGAAACGUGCCGCCUGGGAAGUACGGUCGCAAGGCUGAAACUUAAGGGAAUUGGCGGGGAGCACCACAACGGGUGGAGCCUGCGGUUUAAUUGGACUCAACGCCGGGAAGCUCACCGGAUAAGACAGCAGAAUGAUUGCCGGGCUGAAGACCCUGCAUGACUAGCUG
rnacentral:rRNA from 1 species